ensembl:lncRNA
CCUACGUGUGCGUGGGUCCAGUACCUAUUGGACAGGCGUCUAUGACGUCGGGGCCUUAGGUGUGAAUGUCUACCGAGGACUGCUAUCAGGCAUAAAUAUACGGGGCCCGUGAUACGGGAGCGUAUUUACCUCCGACCCUGACGUUAGACACGCUAUUCUAAGUUAGUAAACGCGUCGUAGCAGUUGGAAGAAAAAAAAAAAAAAACAGCGAUCCGUCCUGCACAACUAUGCCGACUGACUCGAAUUGCCGGUGCCGGAGGCGAGAGCGUGAAACAGCAGCAGGGUCCACGUGGAAAUUUGCCUGAUAUUCGGCUCAACAUUCAAAGACCGAUUCUAGCAGACCAGACUAAUGUGCUGACAAGCGGUAGUUUUGUACCUAUCGAGGCCAAUGUCAUUCAGCGAACCCCCGGACCAAAUCGACUGUCCAAGAAGAAUUUGAAAAGAUCGGCGGGGGUAGUGGUGGCUAUACCCUGUUCACCACUGGCCAUAGAACAGCUACAAAUUCCUUAUAAAAAGGCUCGCAAGGAUGCCACACAUAAUGGUUUAACUCCGGAGAAUAUUACCCAGGUUAUACAGGCAGUCAUAAAUCCGCAAAUUGCGCCACAUGGAGCGGCAUGGACUGAUCCCAAACACCGGGUGAUCGGGGACGUGGAGGUGUAUGUGCAUGAGUCGCCUACAGAGACCGUCACUGUGCAACCGGAUGGGACUAUACAGCACGCCCAUGGAGAUCCCCAGUGUGCGCCACCACCAGAGCUGACCGCCGACGAUUGGGCUGGUCUUGACGACAUCUCGUCCUGGACUUCAUCGCUGUUGGCAGUGGAUCGACUCUCCAGCUACAUCCGUAGAGGCUACCACCAGUGCAGAGCCUGUACAACACCAUCAGCCUGCAGAUCCUGCAUCUGGACCCCUACAAGCCGUUCAAGACCCUAUCAGCGACCCCCCCGUGCACCGUGAGUCCCAUCGCUCAUGAGGUAGCGGUGCCGAGGCUACCAGCCGGUCCCGCAAUUGCUGUUGAUGAACACCAUGCAGGGGUGCAAGGUGAUAAAUGGCGUAAACAAUUUGCUGAUAAACUAGCUGUGUUAACUGCGUCGGUAGAUGUAAACUCCUUAGGC